ensembl:snRNA U6 U6 spliceosomal RNA
CUGCUCACUUCAGCAGCACAUAUACUAAAAUUGGAAUGAUACAGAGAAGAUUAGCAUGGCCCUUAUGCAAGGAUGACACGCAAAUUGGUGAAGCAUUCCAUACACUU